UAUUAGUUUUAUAGUUUAAAGUUUGUUUAUUUACGGAAAACCCAUCGCAUGUAUUUCAUUUAUAUUUUAUUCAUAUAUUUUUCAUUUUUCUUUAAUUUUUGUAAUGACAUACUUCCAUGAAAUUUAUCUUCUGUUUUUCUCAUUUACGUCUUAAAUUAUUUUAUCUUUUUUAUGAUUUAUUUAAUUAUUUGAAAAGCGAAGUUACAAAAGGUAGAGGCGGAGAGAGAGACAGAGAGAGAUGGGGUGGGGAACCUGAAGCCUUGCCACUGCAGGCCUCACCUUGCUGGGACUGCUACCACUGCUGUCUCCUAUCCGAAGCAGGCUCCUGUGACACCCAAGUCCCAGCUGCUGCUCCCACCACUGGCUCGCUGGCAGUGCCUGCCCUGCUCCGAAGCCUUUCUGUCCUUCUGCCUUGGUAAGGCCAUCCCGUAAUGUCUCCUGCAGAGUCACCUCCACCCCAACAGGCAGUUCCUCUGCCACCGUGCUGCUCAAGCUGCCGUGGACCACACUGAAGCUAUGGACACCACCCUCCUUCCAAGGUGGUCAUCUGCCAUUCUCUGGCUGCCUCUGUGGGGAGCUGCCUCCCAUUGUCCAUGGUGCUUCCUGGUGCUGGGCACACACCACGCAGUGUCAGUGUUGCUCAACGCAGUCUUUGCCAGUUUGCUGGCACAGUCAGUCUAGGGACCAACUGCAGUCCCAAUUACCCCUUGAAUCCAGGAGCUCCCACUCUUCCCACAAGUUGGGUACCUGAUGCGCACCAUUGUGAGAGCACUUUGGUUUUGUGGAGGCCAAUGCUCCAACACAAGCCAUUGGCCUAACUUCCUCUCCCACCAAGUCCCAGGCUUAGGCUGUCAGGUAUGUAUGUUUGACACAGCCGUCAUGUUACCCUGAAGGAAGCCAGACUGGCUUCCCAGUUGACUGCUAGCUUUAUAAUCAUUGCCAAGUCAUUGUGUAGUGCUUAGUUGGCACUAGGCACUGUACCUCAUUGUUUGCCAGCCUGCUCUGGAGCCCGUAGAGUGUCUGUGGGACCAGCACCCCCUCUGACUGUCAGGAGCAUUGGGUUUUGUGUGUCCCCUCCAGGCCCCAUCUCUGAUUCCAAAGUUUCAACUUAGGCACAGGGACACCUGCCGCCAUUCCUUCUCCUGCUUUUGGUCAGGGACCUUUGAUUCCAGCUAGCCUCAGGGGCAGGGCCUCUCAAAUUAAAAAAGAAAAGAAAGACAAGAAAAACCCACAGAAAAAUACUAGCUCCCCCUUCAGCAAGAACAUCAGGGUCCCUGCAGCUCAGGUGGUGUGCCCUUUUUGACUGUGGAGGAGCCAGCAUUGUUGAUGAUGCACCUGGGUAUGGGAGCAGCUGUGCUGGUGCUGUGGGCACAGGAAGCAGCCACUGGAGUCCUCUGCUCUCUCACCCUUGGCAUCAUAGUAGCAGCCACCAAAGCCUUCCUUCCUCCUUUCAGUCCCUAUAAAACUUACCCUGCUCUCUUCCUACAGAAGCGUGAGGCCGAAUCUCAAUGUCUGUGUGUAUACGUCGGAGUGGGUGUGUGUGUGCUAUGCAUAUCUGUGUAUGCCGAAGGACGUGUGGCAGAUUGAUCUUGUGAGAACCCGCUGGAUAUGAAGGCCCCCUGUGUGGACUGUACGGGAUCUCCGCGUAGAUCACCGGCCGCACCCUCCCUGACUUCAUGUGGUCACCUGAGGACCCAACUCUGCACAGCGUCUUCACUGUUAGAGCCUGGAGGACUCGCCCUGCUGCCCACCAGCACUCCCUGUUCCUUGGACUUUCUCAGCCCUGUUAUCAUUAAAACUGUGCUCUUGUUCUGC